AUUGAACGCUGGCGGCAUGCUUUACACACGCAAGUCGAACGGUAACAGGCCUUCGGGCGCUGACGAGUGGCGAACGGGUGAGUAAUGCAUCGGAACGUGCCCAGGCGUGGGGGAUAACGCAGCGAAAGCUGUGCUAAUACCGCAUACGAUCUGCGGAUGAAAGCGGGGGACCUUCGGGCCUCGCGCGAUUGGAGCGGCCGAUGUCAGAUUAGGUAGUUGGAGGGGUAAAGGCUCACAAAGCCAACGAUCUGUAGCUGGUCUGAGAGGACGACCAGCCACACUGGGAGUGAGGAACAGCACAGACUCGGACGGGAGGCAGCAGUGGGGAAUUUUGGACAAUGGGCGCAAGCCUGAUCCAGGAAUGCGGCGUGCAGGAAGAAGGCCUUCGGGUUGUAAACUGCUUUUGUACGGAACGAAACGGUCCUGGUUAAUACCCGGGGCUAAUGACGGUACCGUAAGAAUAAGCACCGGCUAACUACGUGCCAGCCGCCGCCGUAACAC
rnacentral:rRNA from 1 species